rnacentral:rRNA from 1 species
CUAUACUAUUCAGAGUUUGAUCCUGGCUCAGGAUGAACGCUGACAGAAUGCUUAACACAUGCAAGUCGACUCGAGUCUUCGGACUUGGGUGGCGCACGGGUGAGUAACGCGUAAAGAACUUGCCUCUUAGACCGGGACAACAUUUGGAAACGGAUGCUAAUACCGGAUAUUAUGGUUUCUUCGCAUGGGGGAAUCAUGAAAGCUACAUGCGCUAAGAGAGAGCUUUGCGUCCCAUUAGCUCGUUGGUGAGGUAACGGCCCACCAAGGCGACGAUCCGUAGCUGGUCUGAGAGGAUGAUCAGCCACACUGGAACUGAGACACGGUCCAG